ensembl:snoRNA SNORA70 Small nucleolar RNA SNORA70
CUGCAGCUCAUGACGCUGACCAGUCUCGCUGCCGUGCGGUUCUGGUGUUCAAUUGGCUGCAGAUAGUGACUCUGUGGUUGUGUAUGAGGCCAGCUGGGAAGUGCUGGCCCCUUUAAGGGACCGCUGAAACAAAA